UACGGGGGGGGUAAGCGUUGUUCGGAAUUACUGGGCGUAAAGGGCUCGUGGGCGGCCAACUAAGUCAGACGUGAAAUCCCUCAGCUUAACUGGGGAACUGCGUCCGAUACUGGAAGGCUUGAAUCCGGGAGAGGGAUGCGGAAUUCCAGGUGUAGUGGUGAAAUGCGUAGAUAUCUGGAGGAACACCGGUGGCGAAGGCGGCGUUCUGGACUGCAACUGACACUGAGAAACGAAAGCCAGGGUAGCAAACGGG
rnacentral:rRNA from 1 species